rnacentral:lncRNA from 1 species
AGCAAGUGAUUGGCGUGUCCUUUCUCAAUUUCAUUUGUUCGCAACAAUUUCAGCAGUUCGUCGAGCACAUCUGCACUAAGACUGUUGUCAGCUCCCAACUUCUUCAGCUCCAAACGCUCGUUCACCAUACCAUCAAACAACUUGAUCAACUUUCCAAAAUAAACACUUGAUCGUCGUUUGAUACCUUGAGGAUCGAAAGCCCUAAGAAUAGGAAAAUAAUCCACAAAAUUCGGCGUACCUGCCUCCUUCAUAAUGUUCCACACCGUGUCCUUAAACUCCUUAGUGUCACUACCAUGAUACGGAUCUACCAUAUCCUUGGAAAACAUGGUAUUAGACAAAAGAUUAAGCGCAGUCUGAAAAGCAGCACAACCAAUAUCUACAGCCUCCCCUCUUUCGCUACACUUAGUAACGUAUCCAACAAGCUCCUGCACCUUAUUCGUUCGAAGAUGAUGAUUAGCAUCCAGCUUGCUAGUUGUAAAAAUAUAAGAGCUCAUAAUUUUUCUUAGAUUCCUCCACUGAUUUCCAACAGGCAACCAUGCAACCGAGAACUUGAAAUGGUCUUGGGCACGUAUAGCAUCGGGAUNCAAUACCGUUUCCGGAUUUCUUAAUACCUCAGCCAUCGUCCAUUCCACUGUACUUGAAGUCGUAUCUGUUCCUGCAGCGAACAAAUCCUGCCCAAGUAAAUAAUUGUUAGAAUACUAUAUGAUACUGAUAAGCACUCCUCCUAAUACUUUCACAUUUCGCAGAAUCAAUUACUUACCAUGGUAAGAGCUUUCUUAUAUAUACUAUAGAACAAGAGUAGUGCAACAUGCACAAAAUUGGGUACAGAAUUUUGCACAAAAUGGCGUGGCAACUGAGGUGGAUAGUUUUAAUUGGUGCUAUUAAUGCAUAUACAGGGGGCCAUUCCAAUCAAAUGUUAACACAUACUCAUUAUGUGAAUAUUUUUGUAAUCAAUUUUGUGCAACUAGCAUUUUCCAUAAAACAAAGCACUUAUAUACACAAGGAAAAGGAUUAUCUCACCGUGAGCAAGUGAUUGGCGUGUCCUUUCUCAAUUUCAUUUGUUCGCAACAAUUUCAGCAGUUCGUCGAGCACAUCUGCACUAAGACUGUUGUCAGCUCCCAACUUCUUCAGCUCCAAACGCUCGUUCACCAUACCAUCAAACAACUUGAUCAACUUUCCAAAAUAAACACUUGAUCGUCGUUUGAUACCUUGAGGAUCGAAAGCCCUAAGAAUAGGAAAAUAAUCCACAAAAUUCGGCGUACCUGCCUCCUUCAUAAUGUUCCACACCGUGUCCUUAAACUCCUUAGUGUCACUACCAUGAUACGGAUCUACCAUAUCCUUGGAAAACAUGGUAUUAGACAAAAGAUUAAGCGCAGUCUGAAAAGCAGCACAACCAAUAUCUACAGCCUCCCCUCUUUCGCUACACUUAGUAACGUAUCCAACAAGCUCCUGCACCUUAUUCGUUCGAAGAUGAUGAUUAGCAUCCAGCUUGCUAGUUGUAAAAAUAUAAGAGCUCAUAAUUUUUCUUAGAUUCCUCCACUGAUUUCCAACAGGCAACCAUGCAACCGAGAACUUGAAAUGGUCUUGGGCACGUAUAGCAUCGGGAUGGGGCCGAGUAGAGAAGGCCAGGUCUUGCUUUUGGAGGACUUCUCGAGCUGCAGUCGGUGAAGAGAUAAUUAUGGUGGUUAUACGUCCCAGUCUUAGACUCAUAAUCGGACCGUAAACCUGAGCCAGGUUGGCUAAGGAUUUAUGCGGGUGUUUGCCGAGGUUGUGUAUAUUUCCUAUGAGUGGUAAGGGGAAGGGUCCUGGUGGAAGCUUUUGAACAGCUUUCAUAUGAUUUUUUUGUAGUAAGAAGAGUGAAAAGGCCAGCAGUAUGCACAGCACACUGAUCAAAAAGAUCUCCAUAUGCGCUGGUUCUGGUUGAACCUUGACGAAGGGUUAAUAUACUGAUAAACAAUAAAGAAGAUGAGGGUUGGGAUGCUUAUGCAAUUGUGUUAGUUUCUGUUUCUAUUUAUACACAAACAGGACCGGCAGAAAAUAGAAAUCAAUGGUUCCAAUUAAAACAACCUAAAACGUCUAUGUCCAGAAUACUGCUUAAAGAUUUGACACUUCAAUUAUUUCUCAAACAAAUGUUGUUGGCGUCACGCCAUCUCCAACGGUGGAAGCAGUUUUUUAUCUAAAUUUUUGUCCAAAUUUAGACCGAAUUAUCUUUUCAUUUUAACUAUUCGGCCUAAAUUUUGGUCCAAAUUCAUAUACUCCCUCCGUCCCGGUCAAUUCUAUACGGUUUAUUUUUCGGGAUGUCCCAUCAUUUCUAUACAUUCCCAAAAUAGCAAUUUUUUAUAAUAUAAAACACUAUUACACCCACUAAUUUCUUCAGCUAUCUCCAUUCUAUAAUACUAAAAACACUAUUACACCCACCACUUUCCUCCACUAUCUCAAAUCUAUUAUUAAAAAUAAAUGGGUCUCAGCACUUUACCCACUUCUCAUCUAACUUUACUCAAAUCUUACCCUUUUUCUUCGUUUCCGUGUCGAAUCCCAAUGUAUAUUAUUCAUUGGGACGGAGGGAGUAUACAUAUUUUAUUCUUCAAACUUUCUUUUUAUUAUUAUUAUUAUUAUUAUUAUUAUUAUUAUUAUUAUUAUUAUUAUUAUUAUUAUAUUUUAAUAAUAAUAUAAAAUUUCAUAUUAAUCUUAAACUUAUAAAUUUAUUUAAUUAGAAAAACGCUACAUUCAAACAAAGAAAAUCAAAAGAAAUUUAACAUCUUACUAUAUUAACUAAAAAAAAUAAAAGAAAGUUUUAGUUUAUAUUAUGAUUUCUUCUAAGUUGCAGUUUCAAUCAAGUUUUAUCGAGCGUAAUCUCUAUUUUAUGUUUAAUUAAUGUAUUGUUAAUUUGAAUUUAAUAAAUUUAAGAGUCUUUAGUUUUAUUAUAUUUCAGAAUUAAAUAUAAUUUGUAAUUAUUUAAUAAUUAUUCUAACAUAUAAUCAAUCAACUAACUAAAUAUACAAAACAUAAAAGGUUAUUAUUAUAUUAUUAAAAAGAUUUAGGCAAGUGAAUAGGGUUGGCCUCAAUUUAGGCAGGCACCGUUCACCGGUCUAAAUUUAAACCAAGAUUUAGGUCACUAUCGGAAAAAUUUACGUCGAAACUGGUCCAAAUUUGGACCUUUAGCCCCCUGUUGGACUAACAACCAUUUUUUAAUUAAGUUUUGAUUUUUUUUAUUUCAAUCUCAUAAAUAAUGAUAACGUUAUUUCGGUAGUUGUCCCGAUAUUGAUGUGAUUCCACCAAUUAACUCAUGAUUCAACCAUUUAAAUAUAAUUUUUGUUUUUUACGACACUCAUGUGGAUACAUUUUUAUCAUCUCUAAUAAAUUAUUUUUUGUAGCUCUCUUAACUAAUUCUUGAUCCUGCCUCCUUGUACAGAAAUUAUUAACGUUGGUGUUCGUAGAGGUUUGGGUGCUUUAAACGAUUUUUAAAACUGAUGCUCCUAUUUUUCAAGAUCGUAAAUGAAAAUUUUACAUACAUUCAAACUAAUAUACAAUAAUAUAAUAAAAACAUUUAUUUAAAAUUAACACAAUCAAUUAAAGUGCAUGUAAAUAUAUAAAUACAUAGAUUUAUCAUUAUAUGCAAUAGUAGAAUUUUUUGGUACUUGGUACUUUUAUGACAGUGAUGCCCAGGACGUCCAUCUUGGUCGCCAUAACAAGGGCCAGUCCUGGAUGUUUCCGUUGAGAGACUUAUGAAAAUGAACACUUGUUCGUCAUUUAAUACCUUGAGGAUCGAUAGACCUAAGAAUAGGAAAAUAAUCCGCAAAAUUAGGCUUACCGGACUCCAUCAUAAGGAGCCUAAAUGAAGAGCCUCUUGGAGAUGCUCUCUAAUGGAGCUCUUAAACAAGCUCCUAUCCUUCAAUUUAAAGAGCAAAUCAAAAAAUAGUGCUCCAAUGGGCUCCUAGAUGCUCUUUAAAAAUUUAAGAGCCUACCAUCUCUCCACUCUUUUGAAGAGCAUCUAGUAGCUCCUAACUAAUAUUAUAUUAAUUUUUCUCCCACUACACAUUCAACCUUUCUCUCUCUUUUCACUUCUCUCUCUAAUUUAUAUGAAUAAAAUAAGAAUAGAGAGCAUGUUUAAAGAGGAGCAUUGGAGUUGGAAGAUUUUUCAAUGUAGAGCAUCUCCAAUAGUCUCUUAGUUGGCUCCUAUGUAUAAUAUAAAAUAUUAAGCUCCUAGUAAGUUAGUACAUUGUUAGGAGUUUGAACUCCAAUAAUGCUCUUUAUACUCACUCUUAACAUUAUAUUUUAUUAUUAUUUGAACUCCACUAUGAUAAAAGUACAAAGUCACAUGGGUGAUAGUGAAUAUUAUAUUACAAAAAACAAGUUAAGAGCCUUGUAGUGGCUCCUAAAAGAGAGGAGAGAGAAGGGCCUCUUAGUAUUUUUAAGAGCCAUUAAGAGCCUAUUGGAGCUCUAUUUUCUCUUAUCCUCUUUACUUUUGGUUUUAAGAGCCACUUUAAGAGGUUAUUGGAGAUGCUCUUAACUCACUAAGAGCCACAUAUUAUAUUAUAUUUUAAAAAGUGAUUUAAGAGCACCAUUGGAGAUGCUCUAACUUGAGAUUUGAGGAGGGAGAGAAAAAAUGUUGCUCCAAGAGACUCUUAAGUGGCUCUUAAAUCACUAAGAGCCUCUUGUUUCUCUCUCCUCUCUCCUCAAAGUUAAGAGCCACCACAUUAUUCCUAACUUAUUUUUUCACAAUAAAAAAAUCCUUCAUUCCACUUCACCUCCAUCUUUUCAUCUCUUUUGUUAUAGUGGAGCCCAAUAUAUGAAUAAAAUAUGAAAUAGAGAAGAGAUGUAGAGAGUAUUAUUGGAGCCACAUUUUUUAUAUUAUAUUUAGGACCCAACAAAGAAGCUCUUGGAGAUGCUCUAAUGCUCCACACCGUUUCCUUAAACUCCUUAGCUACAUUCCCAUGAUACGGAUCUGCCAUAUCCUUGGAAAACAUGGUAUUAGACAAAAGAUUAAGCGCGGUCUGAAAAGCAGCACGACCAAUAUCUACAGCCUCCCCACUUUCGCUACACUUAGUAAUGUAUCCAACAAGCUCCUGCACCUUGUUUGUUCGAAGAUGAUGAUUUGCAUCCAGCUUGCUAGUAGUAAAAAUAUAAGUGCUAAUAAUUUUUGUCAUCUGUAGCCUCAUUCUUAUCAGUGGUGUUUACAGGGCCGACUUUAGAGAUUUGGGUGCUCUAGACGAUUUUUGAAACUGAUGCUCCUAUUUUUUCAAGAUCAUAAAUGAAAAUUUUACUUACAUUCAAAUCAAUAUACAAUGACCAUACAAAAAAAAAAAGUUCAAUAUACAAUAAAAUCAUAUAAAUAUUGGUUUAAGAUUAACACAAUCAAUUCAAAUGCAUGUAAAUAUAUAAAUACAAAAAUUUAUCAUUAAAUACUACAUAUGCAUGAAUUUGUUGAUGUCCUAGGAUAGUGUGUCCAAGAUCCGUUGAGAGAUUUAAGAGUCAUCCAGAUAGUUCACAACCUUCGUGACAACAACCAUAAUCUGCAACGUACUUCCGAAAGCCAUAGUUAUUGCUCUCCAAACACUAACCAUAGAUUAGGACACUCUUGGGGGCAUGGCCCUGAUGUAGCUCUGUUGUAGACUGAUAUAUAAUACAGAACAUCAGAGCCCGUUUUGGUGUGUGGAAAAACUAAACCUUACUCCCAGAGGCGGAUCUUAGAAGGGGUAAGAGGGGGCAACUGACCCCCCUUAAUUUUUAUUUUUUUUAAUAUUAUACAUAUUUUUAGGUUGUAAAAUUGAAAUUGACCCCCUUAAUUUUUUUGUGACCCCUUUUAUUUUUUUUUACAAAAAAAUUGACCCCCCUUAACUUUAUAGUCAGAUCCGCCACUGCUUACUCCGUUAUUUAGAAACGCUAAUAAACUUACUGGUGUAGGAAAUGACAAAUAUGAGAAAGAAAAAUGCUCAUACUACAAGAUUAUUAUUAUAAUAAUUGUCCAAUAGUUAGAGAGCUGAAGUCAAGCUAUAUUUGUUUUUCAUAAAUUUGGUCACAAAAGAUGUGUCGUUUUUGUAUAAUUAAGAAGUAGUUAUUUGGUAGUUAUCUAUUCUGUUUUGAGAAUCGAAUCCAACCACAGUUUAUUGGGAGUAUGGAUAAACUGAAGGUUCUCAUUGUCACAAAUUAUGGGUCUUCCUUCUCUAAGCUAGACAACUUUUAUUGUCUUGGAAGUUUACCCAUUCUAAGGUGAAUCAGAUUAGAACGAUCGAGUUUCAUUAUCUUCCCUUAACACGUCCUCAAUCGAGUUGGUGAACCUGCAGAAGAUAACUUUUACAAUGUGUGAGAUCGGCGAGGCAUUUGAGAAUGGUACUAUAUAUGGACCUCCCUCGCAUCUUCCCUAAUCAUCUGGAACUUGAGAUUGACUGUUGUGAUGACUUGAUGAAAUUGCAUGCUGGAAUCUGUAAUGUUGUCAGUCUUAAGAAGAUCUGCAUCACUUACUGCAAUGAGCUAUCUUUGCUUCCAGAGGAGAUCGGCAGGCUCAGAAAUCUUGAAGUCUUGAGGCUCAAUUCUUGUACAAAGCUAUUAGAGUUGCCAGAGUCAAUUGGAAACCUCCAAAAAUUAACAGUUCUUGAUAUAUCUGAUUGCUUAAGCAUAAGUAAUUUGCCUAGAACAGUAGGUGAGUUGUGUGCUUUAAAAAAGUUCCACAUGAGAGGUUGCGAAGGAUUGUCAGACCUACAUAAGCUUCCCUCAUCUGUAAAAGAUCUGACGCUAUUAGAGAAGGUGAUAUGUGAUGAAGAAGCUAGUCAUCUAUGGAAAACAUAUCGAAGCCAUUUGAAAAAUCUGGUAGUCGAAGAGGUAAAAGAAGAUGCAUUUGAAAGCCUUAUGAGGGUCAUCUAACCAAUUCAGCAUUGUUGACACAGCAAAAGAAUGUUGUACAGCGUUUAGAUUUCUGAAAUCAGAACUUCUGAUUGUAUACUACUGGCAAGUGGCAACACUUGGGUUUUCAUUGUUAUUCAUAGAUAUGUGUAAAUUCUAUAGAGUGUAGUAACAUGUCAUUCAGAAAAUCUCCAGGUUUCCAGAUGCUAAUGUAUUUAAAGUUGGUUAAAGACACAUAUCCAUGUAAGCUUGAAAAGUACGUCAAUAAUUAGUUCUCUUGUGUUGGGACAGGAACUCAAUGUGGUGCAUGCAAUUGAAACUUUUGUUUUUGGUUGAGCUAUGAUUUGGUUUGUUAUUCACAUAAUUAUCCUGUUCUCUAUUUUGUCAGAAUUGGUUUUAUUAAGUUUGUAAGAAUGUAAGUGCAUUUGCUCAAUUUAGUGUCUUUGAUUCAAGUGUGAAAGUCCAUGCCUUCUCGAGCUUUUAGCAUAAACGUUCCGUGACCAAGCCGCUUAAGAGGGAGUGAGGGACAGUCCGAGAAAGAAAUUAUAACAUCCAGUCCACAACCAUAUGUAUAUAUAUCCGUUUAUUGACUCGUAGUAUCUAUUAAUGGUUUAAAGCUAUCCCUUAUUGUAGAUUCGAAGUCCGAAUUCACACACAAACUUCUAGAAUCUGGUGUCUCUGCACUUCCAGCUGGACCAAAUUCUCAUACUCUCUCCGUCUCAAUUUAUAGGUCCCUUUUGGACAAAAAAUUUGUCCCACAAUACUUGUCCCUCUCUUUUUUCAAUACAAAUUUAUUUCUAUAUUAAUUAUAAAUUUUUUGAAACUCAACAUUAUUCUCAUUUCUCAAUGCACUAAAUCUCUAUAUUUAUUGUGAUUUUUUUGAAACUCAAUUAUAUUCUCCCUUAUCAAUGUACUAAUUAAUGAUAUAUGAGAUAAAAUUAUAUCUAAUCAACUACUUUUUUCUUAAUAUGCGUGUUUAUUCCAAAAAGGACCUAUAAAUUGAGACGGGGAGUACCAUUUAUAAUAUACAAGCCAAGCUCACAAUUAGAUACGUACAGGGUCCCGACAAACCAACAAACCAUCACAAGUCGAUCUAAAAUUAAUCAGAGGUUUGCCCAAAAUUUUAGUAAAUUCUACAUCCGUUAUUAACUUGUAUCUAUACAAACUUCUUAUUCUAAACGGUGUCCAUGUUACAGAAAUGCUCACAAAUGUUUAUUAUGAAAGACGCUAGAGGACUAACUUCGCAGAAAGCCAUUCCUUUUAUUACAUCGUAUCUGACUGUACCCCCUUGAAAUGUAUUGGCAUUUUUAGUUUGUAUAGUAUUUUUUUUCCUUCUCAGUUUGAUAACUCAAAUUUAUGAGUAAAAUUGGAUGUGAUAUGAUAUAGAUGGUACAUUACAUCUGACAUGUUUUAAAUUUGAAAACAGAUUUACGUGUUCAACUUCGCUGUAAUGAACCCAUAAGUGAAGAAUUCCCUUCAGCCAAAUUCAUAUGUGAUGUAUGAAUCACAAUAAUAGUUGCCAGCAGUGUGAUCGCCAAUGUGCUCUACUUUGCAAAACAUUUCAAAAUUCUUCAAAGGUGAUGUUGAAGAUUGCGUGUUUGGUAAAGUUUUCCAUAAAAUUCAACGCCGAUGUCUUGUACAUACAAGUUACUCCCUCCGUCGUUUUCCUAGAUCUUUUGGUUGUCACUUUUUAACGUAAUUUAAUGUGAUUAAAAGGUAUAUUUUCAUAUUUUUUUUAAAUUAAAAUUUAUAGUUUAUAUUUUAUUCAUAAAAAUAUUUUAAGAAUAAUAAAUAAAAAUAUAUUUUUAAUUAUUUUAAAUUACAUGUAAAAUGUUAGAAUGACAGGUGAAAAAGAACUUAUAAUAUAUAAAAGUCAUGCCGACUAGCCAUAACAAAGUCCUUCUUCACAUUGACAUUUAUCUCAACUCCAAGAAGCCUGCCAGGAUUUCUUCUUCACCGACCUUGAAAUUUUUGAUGAGCUCGUUUAUUAUGUUUGUUGCUUUCGACAACAUAAAUUUUCCAUAGAUUUCACCGUAAAUGUAAUAUCUUAAAGUAAAAUUCUGGAUAAAAUCAUUAUUGCGUUUGGUAUUUUCGUCAAACCAUNAAAUUAGAUAUUAAAAUUAUAAGAUAUAAUAUAUAUAUAUAUAUAUAUAUAUAUAUAUAUAUAUAUAUAUAUAUAUAUAUAUAUAUUUUCAUAUCAUAAACAUAUCUUAGUUUAAAUAUUAUUGCACAAAGUAAAUUCAUAUAUUUAAUUAGCUAAUAAUAUACCCUCAGUGUUUGAUUCAGCUUCUUUUCUCAUGUAUUCACUUAUUCCACCCAUUUGUUUAUAUAUACCGGACACCAAAACUAAUAAAAUUAUAUAUAUAUAUAUAUAUAUAUAUAUAUAUAUAAUAUAUAUAGUUAAGUUCUAUGGAGUACAAAAAAAAUUGGAGUAUUGGAGUACAAAGUUUGAUAAAAUGUAAUCUAGUCAUCUAAAUUUCAAUUUUUUUUGUCCAAUAAUAUUUGUAAAUAUUUGACAACCUGCACAUUAUGUUCUGCAACAUAAACAUCGUGAUCAAAUGGUAGAAUAAUUACUUUUAUAAAUCAUAGGACUCUAUGUUCUGCAAUAUAACUAAUAAGCAGAACAAUAAUCUUAAUACUUGUUAAAGUUGAAAGAUAUUAAUGAUUAAUUGACAAUUAUGUGCAAGACAACUUAUAAAUGAUAGAUUAUAUCAAAAUUUGGAUAAUCAAAGAUAUUAUAUAGGAUCAAACUAAAAAAUUAUGAUUUGUACUCCAAUACUCCAAUGUUUUUAUGUACUCCAUAGAACUUAACUCAUAUAUAUAUAUAUUAUAGAUUUAGUUAAUUUUAACCUAUCUUUCUCUUUGUUUUUUUUACUUUUUUAUCCUAUUCAAUUGUUUAUAUUUAUGCACGACGAUUCGUAAAAUUUUACAAAAUAGCAUAAAAUCGAAAGAAAAGUUUAUUAAUGAAAUGUUUAUCUGAUAGAUUAAAAAAAAUGAAACAAAACAGUGGAUGAGAUUAAUUUUUUUUUUUUUUUUUGCUAGUUGAUGAGAUUAAUUUUUGUAUUAUAUUCUUUCCAUCUUUUAUAUGAAACCAUGACUAUUAAAACAUACUUUCAAGUGAUUUAAUUGCAUAAUUAUUUUUUUUACAAAUGUUUUUGUGUAUAAAGAUACAUAAUAAAAAAUUUAAUUAAAAAAAGUCAAAAUUUAUUAUUUUUAUUAAUCAUUCAAAGCACUUAAUAAGUGUAAAAACGGAGAGAAUAAAAGCUAAUAUUUUAGUCAAAUGUUAAGAAUUUAACAGAAAAUUAAGAAAAAAAAUGUAAAGAAUUUCGAGACAACAAGUAUUAUUCUAAUUGUCCAAUACUAAGAGAGUUGAAGUCAAGCUAUAUUUAUUUUUCUUAAAUUAGCCUUGUGUAAUUAAGAAGUAGUUAUAUGUUAAUUAUAUAUUUUGUUUUGAGAGUCGACUCUCGCAAUUAGACUUUUAGUUCUCAUUUUUUUGAAUUUUCAUCCUCUCAUCAAUUAAGCCUUCUUCCCCGUAUCAUCAUUUUUCUAUUUAUCAGCUUUUCAAUAAAACUAAAAUCUAUUUUUUUAUUUUUUUUGGUGAGAUCUUAUUAAAUACCUUGUUAUCAAGGUUGUAGUGGUCCCAUAUUUUUGAGAAGUUAGUAUGCUAUGUUUUGAAAUUUUGUUUAUCGUUUAUGAAUUUUUCUGAAAAGGAUUUAUAAGAUUUUUUCGGUGAUUUAUAAUACUCGUAUUGAUUCUAGGUAGGUGAUGAAUAUGGCAAGAGCACAUUUUUUGCAACAAAAAUGUAUGGGGGUCAUAUAGUCACUUUUAAUUGUCAUAGUAUUUUCAUAAAUAUUCUUAAAAGUUAUAAAAUUACAAAAAAGUUAAAAAAACAUAGUAUUUGAUAAGCUCCUUUAUAAUAUCAAUUUUGUUAACAUAUAUAAAUUUUAAUUUAAUUCCUAAUUUAAAAGUUAAAUUAUUAUUUCUUAUAUCUCCCCUUUCUUUUCCCCGAAAACUUUAAUUAUGUAAUAUAUCUAAAAGCAAUAACAAACAAACUGAGAUAGACAUCUUUGUUUCAAAUAUGCAUUAUUGGUACUUUAAUUUUUUUUUUUAGAAAAUCAAUAUUUUGAGUGUAUAAAAUUUCAAAAGGAUUAGAUUUACUUUUUAUAAUAUAUCCUCUUUAUGUGACAAAUUUGUUUUAUUUAUAUAGACAGAUGUGCUUUGUCUGUUUUCUUAAAACAGGGCAAGGAAAUAUUACAUCCACGUAAAAAAUUUCUUAAAAUUUAGUCAAAUUUAUCCAUAAAUAUACAUAACUCCAAGGUCAAUAACCGUUGUGAAAGUACGACACUAUACUGGUUUAAUGGAGAGUAUAUCACAUGCAACCUGAAGUCUAAACGAUCUCAAUCGCUUGGGUCACAUAAUUAUCACAAAAGUCAAAAAUCAUGAAUCAUCUUUACAACAUUGGGAUCCGCUGUACAUCUAAAGAACAUACUUUUACUCGUAUUACUUAAAAAAGUUAUUUUUCACUUAUAAAUAAAAUUUCACUAAUUAUAAGAAAUAAACUCUUGUUUUAAAUUAAACUAAACUAAACGACUCCUUAGAUAAAUUUAUAGACAGUUUUUAUACUUUUAUAGAAUGCAAUGAAAUGCAGGUUGAACAAAAUGUUUAUAUUAAAUGUUAAUUAGAUUAAAUAUAACGAGUUUAUGAGUUUUUGAAAUUAAGUUCUAAUUACAUUCAUAUUUAGGUUUAAAAAAGUAGUAUAGAUGUUAAUCUUUAAAUUAUACUGUGUUAAUUAUCUAAUCAAAGUAUCUCUUUUGAUUAGAAUUUAAUUUAUUAAAUUAGUGUAGGUUAAUUAAUGUUCUUACACUUUUUUGUUAAUAUUCCAGGAUAUUAUUAGUUCUACUCUCAUAUGUAAAUAUUUUAUUAUCAAAAUGUUCAAAAAUACUUUUUAAUGUGAAUCCGUUAUAUGAUAUUCAUCUUGAACGAAAAACCUCUUUCUUUAUAAAUAAUUGAUUCACGUGAAAAUGAUUAAAUGAUCAAAGAAAGACGGAAGAUUUGCCGACCAAAGAAACCGAGACGUGUAAAUUGUAGUAACGUUGUUUGACUUUAUCUUACGCAUUCUUCUGUCGAUUCCAGAAACAGAAAGGUCAAUUAUUGGCGGGGCACUAGUCACAUUUGUAUGAUAGUGUCACUAUUCGAUAAGCUUCAUUUAGAAAUUACAAAAUCUGCCGACUCCUUGCUCUGCAAUUGGGGUCCCUUCGUGGUUUCCCCUCAAACUUCCAAAAUGCAUUCACAAUUAUAAUUUAUGUACGUUAACACCUUCAAACUCAAAAUAAGUAUAUUAAUUAAAUUUAUUUCAAAAAAAAAAGAAAAAAAGUAUAUUAAUUAAAUAAUACUUCUUUAAUUGAUUAAUUUUGUUAUAAAAAAUAAUAACUUAUAAAACAUGUAUUGGUGAUUUAUAAUAGUAUAUAUAUACUCCUUACGUUUGGUUUGGGAAUGGAGAUUAAGAAAUAAGUGUAAAGUAGUGGAAAAGAGAAAGAAAAAUGUAUGAUGUGGUGAGAGCUAUUGAUUUUUAAUGUAUAAAAGAGAGAUAGGGGAGUAAAAGUGAUGUAAAAAUGGAGGAAAAAUGAGUAAGUGAUGGAACCCAUUGAUUAUUUUUGGUAAGGUUUGAAAUGUAUGGGACAUCCUAAAAAGGAAACGGUAAAGAAAUGAUUAGCACAUGAGGGAGUAUAUUUUUUUAUUAAAUAUAUUGAAUAUUUAUUUUUAUUUUGAAGAUAAAAUUAUGUUCAAGUAAUAUGAAUCUUUAAGUUUCUUUUUUUUGAAGUAAUAAAUCUUUAAGUUAAGAUAGUUUUUUAAUAAAUAAUAAAUGUGUGGUUAAUAUUUUUAUAUAUGUUAAACAAAUAUUUUCAUGUAACAUAUUAAGUAAAUUCUUAAUAUUUUUUUUUUGAUAAAAAAGAAUCAAUUCAUUAAUCAAAAGCCAUAGACAAUCUACAAAUAUAAUCAAAAUUGGACAAACGCUAAAUUAUAUCACUGUUGAAAUUUUCUUUGUUGGAGAGAUAACUAGCUUUGAAAAUGAUUUAAAAUAUAUGUACUUUUUUCACCCAAUUGAUUUUCACUCGACUAUUCUCAAUAAUCAACCAUAAAUACGAUUUCAUAAUAACCUUCGAAUCUAAAUAAACUCAUGAAAAUCAUGCUGAUAUAUAACCUUGGUAGGGAGAACAUCGAAACACACCAAACCGAAAAUCAACAUAAAAUUCAAAUAAAUUGAGAACUCAUUGAAAGGUAACCAAGAUUUCAAACAAGAAAACGGAAAAAAAAAAUUGAGACGGGCGAAAACCGAUGGAAGUCCCUUCAAAUUUUUUUAAUGGAAGCUAGGGUUUGAGGGAGUGAGAGUUGGGAAUGAUACGAAGGAAGUUAGUAUAUAAAUUCUUAAUAUUUAAACCCGUUAAGAAGAUUGAUCCUAAGAAAUAUGAUAACUGGGAACAUUUCUAUGAGUUCUAAUAAUAAUGAUUAUUAAACAGAUUCAAUUAAACAUGUUACAAAUUGAAUAGGUUCGUAUAUAUAUCCAUGUACCCUAAUAAAUUCAGCUAAAUCUGUAGUAGUUGUUUUUGUGUAAUUCUAGUUCAUAAAAUUACUGGGCAGAUUGGUUACAGCUUACUUUGUCUGUGGUCAGUAAUGAAUACAUGCCCUGCUUUAGUAACGUAAUUUUGCGAUUAAUAUUGUGUUAAUAGAUCAGCUCUUCUUUUAAGAGUUGUGUUAAUAGAGCAUAUUAAUGAUUAUAGUAUUUGUCAACCAGCACUCAAUUCCAACUGAGAAAAUAACUCUGUGACAGCUUAAGAAGUUGAAAAUAAUUCAAAUACAUAGCUCCAACUUUAAACAACAGUAAAACAUAUAGUCAUAGAGUGCAAGUGUGCACGAACAUGCAGACAUUAUUAACUAAGGAACAACAGGAGUUGCUACAGCACGAAGCGGGUGAAGCUUGGCCAGAGUGAUCCCAAACUUAUCCUCCAUGUCCAAAUCUCCUGGUGCAAUCCCACCUUCAAGUUUCCAGUCAAAACAAUUUAUGAGGGAUCCCACCAUCAUGGGCACCAUUCUCAUAGCCAGGGGCAAUCCAGGACAUUUCCUGCGACCCGCGCCAAAGGGAAUCAGCUCGAGAUCAUGCCCAUACACAUCAACUUUGGAGUCCAUGAAUCUCUCUGGCUGGAAUGACAGUGGAUUUUCCCAUAGCGUGGGAUCGCGUCCGAAAGCCCAUACAUUCACCAGCACUUGAGAAUUCUUGGGAAUUAUAUAGCCACUUAAUUCAACAUCUUCUGUCACUUGGCGUGGUAGUAAGAAGGGAACUGGUGGGUGCAACCUUGCACUCUCUUUCACAAUGCAUUGCAAAUAAGUCAACUUAGAAAUGUCUGCUUCUUCUACCAUCUUGCCUUUUCCGAUCACUUGAUUCAGCUCAGCUUUCGCCUUGGCCAAUACCGUUUCUGGUUUUCUUAAGACCUCAGCCAUCGCCCAUUCCACUGUACCUGAAGUCGUAUCUGUUCCUGCAAUGAACAAAUCCUGCCCAAGUAUAUAAUUGUUAGAAUACUGAUAAGUACUCCUCCUAGCACUUUCAGAUUUUCGAAGAAUCGAUUACAUAACAUGGUAUCAGAGCUCUCUUAUAUACUCCCUCCGUCCCAGCCAAUUGUAGCCAAUUGUUUACGUUCGGUUUGGGCACGGAGGUUAAGAAAUAUGUAAGUAGUAAAAAAGAGAAAGAAAAGUGGGUAAAAUAGUGGGACCUAUUAAUUUUUAAUGUAUGAAAGGGAGAUAGCGUUAAGAAAUAUGUAAGUAGUAAAAAAGAGAAAGAAAAGUGGGUAAAAUGGUGGGACCCAUUAAUUUUUAACGUAUAAAAGGGAGAUAGCGGAAUAAAAGUAGCGUGAAAACGGAGGAAAGAUUGGGACAUGAUUGGACCCAUAUUUUUGGUAAGUUUUGUAAUAUAAAGAACUGGAAAAGACAUCCCAAAAAGGAAACCGUAAAUAAUCUGGUGGGACGGAGGAGUAUACUAUAGAACAAAUCACUUAUAUACACAAGGAAAAAUUAUCUUACAGUGAGCAAGUGAUUGGCGUGUCGUUUCUCAAUUUCAUUUGUUCGCAACAAUUUUAACAGUUCGUCCAGCACAUCUGUACUAGUACUGUCCUCAGAGUCCCCCAACUUCUUUAGCUCCAAACGCUCAUUUACCAUACCAUCAAACAACUUGAUUACCUUUCCAAAACCAACACUUGAUCGUCCUCUGAUACCUUGAGGAUCGAAAGACCUAAGAAUAGGAAAAUAAUCCACAAAAUUAGGCGUACCUGCCUCCUUCAUAAUAUUCCACACCGUGUCCUUAAACUCCUUAGUGUCACUCCCAUGAUACGGAUCUGCCAUAUCCUUGGAAAACAUGGUAUUCGACAAAAGAUUAAGCGCAGUCUGAAACGCAGCACAACCAAUAUCUACAGCCUCCCCCCUUUCGCUACACUUAUUAACGUAACCAACAAGCUCCUGCACCUUGUUCAUUCGAAGAUGAUGACUUGCAUCCAGCUUGCUUGUAGUAAAAAUAUGAGAGCUCAUAAUUUUUCUUAGAUUCCUCCACUGACUUCCAACAGGCAACCAUGCAACCGAGGACUUGAAAUGGUCGCGAGCACGUAUAGCAUCGGGCAGGGGCCGAGUAGAGAAGGCCAGGUCUUGCUUUUGCAGGACUUCUCGAGCUGCAGUCGGUGAAGUGAUCACUAUGGUGGUUAUACGUCCCAGUCUUAGACUCAUGAUCGGGCCGUAAACCUUAGCCAGUUUGGCUAAGGAUUUAUGCGGUUGUUUGCCGAGGUGGUGUAUAUUUCCUAUUAGUGGCAAGGGGGAUGGUCCUGGUGGAAGCUUUUGAACAGCUUUCACAUGAUUUUUUCGUAGUAAGAAGAGUGAAAAGGCCAGCAGUAUGCACAGCAAAC